ensembl:lncRNA
GUUUGCUGUCUGCAAAUGUUUCAGUUCCAAUUCUUGUAUUCAGUUUUUUUUCUCCCCAGAUGCCAGGGUCAAAAUGGUAUGUAUUGGAUGGUCUGCAUUGGAUGGUCUGCAUGUUAUGUUGUCAAUUGAUUCAAGGAGGUUUUGUGUCCUAAAAUACAUUUUAAGGAUCCUAAACCUCACACUUUUAAGGUCAGGGAUGCAAACUAGUCAGCUUUACUAGUCACCCUAUACCAUUAGUUUGCAUUCCUGCUUUCUUGUGUCCUGUUUUGGCAGGAUCAUCAUAGUAACACAAUUUUCUUUUGAAGGUUCCUCUCUGUCCUGGGCUUCAUCAUAAACAUUGACACGUUGAUGUCGAUGAUUCCUGUGCUGCUUGAAGAACAGCAAUAUGUCCUGACUUACAGGUUCAGCCAGGACCACUUGGAGCUUCUCUUCAACUCCAUCAGAGCAUCUGGUGGCUGGAAUAACAACCCUAAUGCCAGCCAGUUCAAGUACAUCUUUAGGCAGCUGAUGGCCCGGUGUGGGGUUAUUAAACCAAGCAGAGGCAAUGUGACGGCACAGGAUGACACAGAGUCCCUACCAGCUGUCAUCGACACCUCUACAAGCCUGUCAGCUGUAGAUAUGUCCUCUGCAGCAGGAGGAGAAGAUCUUCCAUCCCCGUUUGCUGACAUUCGUGCCCUAGUACAUGACCACAGCUACCUUCCUGUCCGCUUCGAUGGUCUUGUGGACAACGCUCUAGUGUACAUUUCAGGAUUUGUUGUGCGACGGGCUCUGAAGAAGCUGUCAUGUGAUGUCUGCCGUGCCAGCCUGGUGACAGAUGCUGCAUCUGCCAUCAAGGACCAGAGCUACCACCUGCUGACUUUAAAAAACAAUGGAGGUCUGGUGAUUCCAUCAGAGGGAACCGUGAGGGUUGUCAGGGCAGCAGAGUGGGUCAUUCGGCAGUCAUCAGGCAGUACCAGACAAUCACAGCCCAUCACACUGCUUGAGGUUGUUUACAUUGUCCGAAAAAGGAUCGGUUCAGAGGAUGUGUUUGUGUUAGGGGAGCACAUCGGCGAGACGCAGUAUGGGAUAGACAGCCACCACCAUAUGCUGUUAAAAUUAAUUGUGUCCCUGUUUUUUAAGUUAAGGCUACACCACAUCGCCAGUAUUACAAACCUCACCUUACAGAGCAACAACAUGCGACAUAAACUUAAUAAAACUGUCCUUUUCAAAGGGCACUAGCCCAAGGUAUGAGUUUUCAAGGUACUGUCCUCUUUUAGUUCAACAGUAGUGUAGUUCUCUACAGCAUUUCUUUUUUGGAUAUUUGUAAAGGGGAAUCAUGUACCUAUUUGUUGUUUUUUUUUGGUGUGCAAAUAAAUGUCACUUUUAUAAUAGUUUAAAAAUAGAGACUUUUGUGUAAUUAUUCCAUAUUUUUUUGUGGUCAUUCUAUAUCAAAACCCCUGACAUACAAUCCAAAUAGUCUACAGGUAACAUCAGUGUUACCUUUCAUUUGAUUUCAUUAUGCUUCUACACUAAGAGGUUGCCACACAGUAAGCCUUUUGUUGUCAGCAUUUUAUCUAACCAAAAGUCCUAUGGGGAGUUUCCAUAGGGCAUUUUACAAUACGCAUGACCAUACCUUGGCAAAUAGUGGUCUAAAGUACUCAAUUUCAUUCUAUAUUGAUCUGCUUUUGCACACAGCUUCACUAGACCUGGUGCUCAGUUGUGUUUCUUAAGUCAUAUCAAGUGACCUAGAGGGCUGAAAUGUGGUCAGUUCAGAGAUGCUUGUUAUCCGGCAUAAAGAAAAAACAUGUAGUAAUUAAAAUUAUUUUAUAAUAGUAAUUUUAUUAUAAUAGUACAAAAGUGUAUAUGUCUUGUUGCCAUUCUGUAGCCUAUUUAUUAAUUUAAC